UGGGGAAUAUUGCACAAUGGAGGGAACUCUGAUGCAGCGACGCCGCGUGAGUGAUGAAGGAAUUCGUUUCGUAAAACUCUGUUCUAUGGGAAGAAAAGGACUGUACCAUAGGAGAAAGCUCCGGCUAAAUACGUGCCAGCAGCCGCGGUAAUACGUAUGGAGCGAGCGUUGUCCGGAAUUAUUGGGCGUAAAGGGUGCGCAGGCGGCUUUACAAGUUGGAUGUGAAAUAUUGUGGCUCAACCACAAACGUGCAUCCAAAACUGCAAAGCUUGAGUUAAGGAGAGGUAAGUGGAAUUCCUAGUGUAGCGGUGGAAUGCGUAGAUAUCAGGAGGAAUACCGGUGGCGAAGGCGACUUACUGGACUUAAACUGACGCUCAAGCACGAAAGCGUGGGGAGCAAACAGG
rnacentral:rRNA from 1 species